rnacentral:rRNA from 1 species
UAAAGUUACCGUUGUCUUACGUUAUAGGUACCGGGGUGGUCUAAGGAGGGGGGUGGGCAGGGCGCGGAGGAGAGGAGGCUGGUGCGACGGCACGACGCGCUGCCGCUCACCCGCGGGCGGGAGGGGCAGGCGCUCGAGCAGGGGCCCGUGCAGCCGCCGAGGGUUCGGGAGGACGAGGCUGGGGCGUCUCACGAGCUCAGUACCUCCCCGUGGUCUGUCACCACCCGCGAACGCGGCGACGAGGGGUAGCUCGAGCGCGCACACUGUGUAGACUACCGGUUGUGUCGGCAGCAGCAGCGGAAGUGUUACAGUGUUACCACUAACAUGUUGAGACGACGGAGGUCGAGGUCGCGGGUAGAGGUGAUGCCAAGUACCGAAUGAACUGCUCCAGUUGUCGAUUAUCUCCACGUAGUGGAGCACGAUUUAGCAACAACCUCUUCAAGAGAGAACAACAAAGACAAGUAGUGUAAAUUACGAACUUCGAACGAUUUGAUCCACCUGAAAUAAAUACAGGUCGUGUUCUGAAGACGGUUCUAGUUACGUGUAGAACUAGAUCUUAUUUCUCAUAGGUUACCCGAGUGACUGUGCCUAUUACAGCUGUUGUUCACCACAGUCGAUACCGGACCUCUCUCUACAAAUCUGUGGGAUUAUACCGUACACAGCGACUCCUCUGUACUAGAGGCUCGUCGGGAGGAGUAUCGAGCGUCAGGUCCAGCUACGGUUUAAGUUAAAGAUCCUCCCAAAAACACGACACCGACGCCCAAGCACGAUAGCCCCCCUUUAUAGAAACCAAACAAAGAAUAUAACCGCUACACCAGCGAACCAACAAACUACGCAAGCACGAGCAGCCGCCCUGCCACGUUCCGCGUUGAGGCUGCGCCAAGGAGCGGCCAACCUGCCGCAAGUCCCAGUGUGUAUGUGUACUAAAAAAUAAACGAUAAACUUUGACGUCAAACUUUGGCUUAGAGAAAACGAUAAACUUUGACGUCAAAAAAAUUCCCGGUGUGUAUGUGUACUAACGCUGACCGGUUAAAACACACAGGAAAAGUACGGGUCUCAUAACGUCCAACGUGACGAGUGAACUUGGUCGUAAUGGAAGCUUUGACUUAGCUCAAUUGUCAUCUAGGUUUUACAAAAAAAACAGUAAACCAAACAGUUUUACCACAAACAAGUGUGUGACAGCCUACGAAUCAAGUCAAUUUUGUUAUUACAACAUACUCAUAUUCAUUAUUAUGAUUACGCGAAAGUGAGUACGAUGCUGGGGUCAUUGUUGAGAGACUCUACCAACACGAGUUUAAAUAUCAAGGACCAAUUACAAAAAAAUAGAAAAAUGAAAGACAACCAAACAAAGAAAGUCAAACAUUCACCAGAACCUUAGGACAAGUGACAACCUUUGACAACCUGGAACGACAACAACUAACCAAGUAUUCCAGUAAUCUCAAUGGUUAGACAGAACUGAGACAUUCUAAGUACCUAGUUAAACUCGACCGCUCGGUGAACGUGAAGAACUUCGAUGAUUGUUUGGUCGUUUCCACGUGUAGGGACGUUUGGUCUAACUAGAAUUCUGUGACCAACUCGGGACACGUAACUCUCGCAUGGGCAAAACGAACUUCCAAAGUCUACGUGACAGUAGUAUUUUAUACCAGGGGCCCCUCAGUACCUCCAAACAAAGGACGUUAUCUGCACCGUUUUUUAGAGACGGUGUACCUCUACCAACGACGACGUGACGUACACCUAUGUCUCCUUUCUUCAAGUCCGUUUUAAGGUAAUCCGAAACGAGAUGAGAAUCAAUGGUACUCUAAAGUAGUUAGCGAGAUGUACCACAGCACGAAUGAGAGCUGUACGUUACCUAAGUUCACACGCAUCCCUCGAAAAGAGUUGGUGUAUCACUGUUUACGUGCUCGGAAUGCCAGAUACCACAGUGGCCGUACGUUCAACGAUUAGAGGUAACCUAGUGACGCACCCCAGCGUGUAUCACCAACACCGUUCACCGUAACUGUCCCACUUAAAACAACAAUAAAUGCAGAUAAGUAGGUUUCCUUCAUCUACUAACUAUCUCUAAGUCUCCCUCGUUAACUAUAUCUAUCAACAACACCAAGGAUAAAGAAGUCUAAUACAAAGAUAACGAUAAUACCGGACUCCAGGUAGGGGGCAGCGGGGAGGAGAGUUCGGCGACGCCACAGGACAUACAAAAUCACCCAAGGCAGUGCGGCCCGACGGGGUCCGGGACUGGGUCCCAAACCACCCGCUCGAGUGAUGGUAGGAGGGCCACCAGAAGAAGGAGCGAACUAAGAACCCGUGGGGUAGAUAAGACCUGCUCGUGGAAGGUAACCACCCACUCCUCUAGACCGUACUUGGUGCGCGGCUCUCCUAGAGGUGAAGACGAUGGAGACGUACGGGAACCGGAUUAGAGUGGUUUGAAACGAUGUGAAGUGUAGUAGUCCCUUCCUCCUACGCAGGUAGCGUUAUAGUUCGUUUAGUCUACUGUUCCACAAACCUCGUUCGAUGAGUAUCGGUUGAUGUAUCAAAUCAUGUUACGACAUAAUUUCGUCACAUUUAUUUAUUGAACAUACCGGACGAAAACCAUAUAUCACGCCUUGGAACUAGAAAUCCAUAAAGUACGAUGUUAACAAUUGUUUACGUGGCUACCAGACAUUGCUCUAAACUAGAAAACUUAACCUGGUAAUGACAACAUUCAUUUAUAAUAGAAUACGAAAAACUCAUUAUGAUGGUCCACAACCUAACAAUCUGAGUUAUUUAUAUAUGGUAUACAACCUAGCAAUUUUUAAGGUUCUAUAGACAACAUAUAAUGGCCUAAUCGAUUUUGCCC